GGGCCCGUAGCUCAGCGGCAGAGCAGGCGGCUCAUAACCGCUCGGUCGUAGGUUCGAAUCCUACCGGGCCCACCU
rnacentral:tRNA from 1 species